rnacentral:lncRNA from 13 species
UGCUUCCGGCCUUGUUCUCUCUCAAGCUCCACAAACAACCACAGGCACUUAAUUCCUAGUUGCUGGCUCGGCCCCUCCCUGUAUUCUAGAACCAUUUCAGACCCUGCAUGGAGCGACAUCUGCACACCUGAGAUCCAACACUUGGCAGCGUUCCUCAGCCUUGUUGUUGAUCUCACUCUUAUUUGAACUCUAGGGACCAGGCCUUUGGCUCUUGCCUUUUUUGAGAUUACAUAUCAAGUCCCAGAGUCACUGCCUGAUUUUUUUCCAGAAUCCCGUUCUGGAAGAGGAGUCUUGCCUUUACUAGUUACCCUUGGAUACCUGACUGGUGACUGCUGAAGAGCAAGCUGGGACUGCCAGCAGUGUGCAUACUUUCCCAAUGCCACAUGCAGCCCGCGUCCUAGGCAGGCACCUUUCAUCACGGUUAGACCUCUCUGUUGCUGGCCACGUAUCUAUCUCAGCCUUUGCCUGUCUCCUCGUGGAAAUCCUGUUCCCUCUGUCUGCCACCUGUGGACUUCAGUUAUGAAUGGCACAUACACGGCACAUCUACCAUCCUUCCCCUCUCCUGCAUCCGUCGCAGAUAUUGGUAAUCAGCCUCAACACUUUCGAGUUCAGCCUGGGCACUGGACACCGUCUCAGACAUUUCUGUAACACGGCACUUCAGGUCACUCAUUCUGGGAGAAGCCACCUGACUCACUGUAGUAACUGCAGACAGACCCAUGUGACAAGGAACUGACAUCUCUGGCCAACAGCCAGCAAGGAACAUAAGCCAGCUAGCAAACACUGGUGGAGCUUGGAAGUGGGUUCUCCAGGCCCAGGUAAG